AAUUUUGGCCGUGUGAUUUAGUUUCGCGUGUACUGAAUCUUACUAGGACAAGUUUGUGGCACUUUCUCUGACGCCUAACAUUAUUGAAAAAUAAUUUCGGUAUUCUUU
rnacentral:lncRNA from 1 species